rnacentral:rRNA from 1 species
AAUGAACGCUGGCGGCAUGCCUAACACAUGCAAGUCGAACGAGACCUUCGGGUCUAGUGGCGCAUGGGUGCGUAACGCGUGGGAACCUGCACUUAGGCUCGGAAUAACUCUUCGAAAGGGGUGCUAAUACCGGAUAAUGUCUUCGGAUAAAAGAUAUAUCGCACUUGGAUGGGCCCGCGUUGAAUUCGCUAGUUGGUAGGGUAAAAGCCUAUCAAGGAGACGAUCCAUAGCUGGUCUGAGAGGAUGAUCAGCCACACUGGGAAUGGGACACGGCCCAGACUCCUACGGAAGGCAGCAGUGGGUAAUAUUGGACAAUCGGCUAGAUCCUGAUCCAGCAAUGCCUCGUGAGUGAUGAUGGCCUUAUGGUUGUAAAGCUCUUUUACCCGGGAUGAUAAUGACAGUACCGAAAGAAUAAGCUCCGGCUAACUCCGUG